UAUCCUUUUCCCGACAUCUACCAAAUCAACAAUUACUUGUGGAGCUGUCCUUUUAGUACGAACAACUUCCAAUAGUGGCAUGACGUGUGCUGGACUAAAAAAAUGAGCUCCGACAAUUCUAUCAUGAGAUCUUGUUCUCUCUCCAAUCAGCUCCAAAUCUAUUGUGGACGUAUUGGUAGCAAGUAUGCAAUGUGGAGGGCAAUAUUUCUCAAGAUCAACGAAGAUCUG
rnacentral:misc_RNA from 1 species